rnacentral:rRNA from 1 species
GCGAGCGGCGGAUGGGUGAGUAACACGUGGGGAACCUGCCCCUAAGUCUGGGAUACCAUUUGGAAACAGGUGCUAAUACCGGAUAAUAAAGCAGAUCGCAUGAUCAGCUUUUGAAAGGCGGCGUAAGCUGUCGCUAAGGGAUGGCCCCGCGGUGCAUUAGCUAGUUGGUAAGGUAACGGCUUACCAAGGCGACGAUGCAUAGCCGAGUUGAGAGACUGAUCGGCCACAUUGGGACUGAGACACGGCCCAAACUCCUACGGGAGGCAGCAGUAGGGAAUCUUCCACAAUGGACGCAAGUCUGAUGGAGCAACGCCGCGUGAGUGAAGAAGGUUUUCGGAUCGUAAAGCUCUGUUGUUGGUGAAGAAGGAUAGAGGUAGUAACUGGCCUUUAUUUGACGGUAAUCAACCAGAAAGUCACGGCUAACUACGUGCCAGCAGCCGCGGUAAUACGUAGGUGGCAAGCGUUGUCCGGAUUUAUUGGGCGUAAAGCGAGCGCAGGCGGAAAAAUAAGUCUAAUGUGAAAGCCCUCGGCUUAACCGAGGAACUGCAUCGGAAACUGUUUUUCUUGAGUGCAGAAGAGGAGAGUGGAACUCCAUGUGUAGCGGUGGAAUGCGUAGAUAUAUGGAAGAACACCAGUGGCGAAGGCGGCUCUCUGGUCUGCAACUGACGCUGAGGCUCGAAAGCAUGGGUAGCGAACAGGAUUAGAUACCCUGGUAGUCCAUGCCGUAAACGAUGAGUGCUAAGUGUUGGGAGGUUUCCGCCUCUCAGUGCUGCAGCUAACGCAUUAAGCACUCCGCCUGGGGGAGUACGACCGCAAGGUUGAAACUCAAAGGAAUUGACGGGGGCCCGCACAAGCGGUGGGAGCAUGUGGUUUA